UAAUCGAGAAUUACUGGGCGUAAAGCGUGCGUAGGCGGCUGCUUAAGUCAGAUGUGAAAGCCCCGGGCUUAACCUGGGAACGGCAUUUGAUACUGGGCAGCUCGAGUUGAGUAGAGGAGAGGGGAAUUUCCGGUGUAGCGGUGAAAUGCGUAGAGAUCGGAAGGAACACCAGUGGCGAAGGCGCCUCUCUGGACUCAAACUGACGCUGAGGUACGAAAGCGUGGGUAGCAAACAGGAUUAGAUACCCUGGUAGUCCACGCCGUAAACGAUGUCAACUAGCCGUUGGUCUUAUUCGUAAGAUUCGUGGCGCAGCUAACGCGAUAAGUUGACCGCCUGGGGAGUACGGCCGCAAGGUUAAAACUCAAAUGAAUUGACGGGGGCCCGCACAAGCGGUGGAGCAUGUGGUUUAAUUCGAUGCAACGCGAAGAACCUUACCUACCCUUGACAUGCAUAGAAUC
rnacentral:rRNA from 1 species